rnacentral:tRNA from 1 species
AUUUAUUUUUUUUAAUAAAUGAUUGGCUACAAAAGGAUUUUUUUUUAGUGAACGUGCCACAAUUAAUUACUCCUAU